rnacentral:ncRNA from 1 species
UGAAAAGCGAUGAGAAGGAAAAGUACAUGCAGGGACACCUCCAAAGAGAGCUUCGGCAGCUGAAAAGAAGCGUGGCAGACCGCACGGAAAAUGACCUUUGAGCUUCACACCGAACGUGCAUGUGCACAAGUAGACUGUGACGUGGUUGCUGACGUUACAACAGCAUACGUAUCAGGCUUUCAUGCCCCGUACGGACAAAGGCAGGUCAAUUGAUCUGUAAACUAAGGUGGUACCGCGACUUCAACCCUCGUCCUUAGA